rnacentral:tRNA from 1 species
UUAAUUGAAACCAAAUAGAGGUAUAUCAUUGUUAAUGAUAUAAUUGAAAUAAAUUUCCAAUUAAG